UACGUAGGGUGCGAGCGUUGCCCGGAUUUAUUGGGGCGUAAAGGGCGCGUAGGCGGCCACGCACGUCCGUUGUGAAAUCGCCCGGCUCAACUGGGCGGGGUCGGCGGAUACGGCGUGGCUGGAGCAAGCUAGGGGGCAAUGGAAUUCCCGGUGUAGUGGUGGAAUGCGUAGAUAUCGGGAGGAACACCAGUGGCGAAGGCGGCUACCUGGCCCAUUCUUGACGCUGAGGCGCGAAAGCUAGGGGAGCAAACGGG
rnacentral:rRNA from 1 species